rnacentral:rRNA from 1 species
CACGUAGGGUGCGAGCGUUGUCCGAAGUUACUGGGCGUAAAGCGCGCGUAGGCGGGUUGGUAAGUCCGCUGUGAAAGCCCGGAGCUUAACUCCGGAGGGUCGGUGGAUACUGCCAGUCUUGAAGGUGCUAGGGGGAGAUGGAAUUACCGGUGUAGCGGUGAAAUGCGUAGAUAUCGGUAGGAACACCAGUGGCGAAGGCGGUCUCCUGGGGCAUUCUUGACGCUGAGGCGCGAAAGCUGGGGGAGCAAACGGG